CCUACGGGUGGCAGCAGUGGGGAAUAUUGCACAAUGGGCGCAAGCCUGAUGCAGCGACGCCGCGUGGGGGAUGAAGGCCUUCGGGUUGUAAACUCCUUUCGCUAGGGACGAAGCUUUUUGUGACGGUACCUAGAUAAGAAGCACCGGCUAACUACGUGCCAGCAGCCGCGGUAAUACGUAGGGUGCGAGCGUUGUCCGGAAUUACUGGGCGUAAAGGGCUCGUAGGUGGUUUGUCGCGUCGUCUGUGAAAUUCUGGGGCUUAACUCCGGGCGUGCAGGCGAUACGGGCAUAACUUGAGUGCUGUAGGGGUAACUGGAAUUCCUGGUGUAGCGGUGAAAUGCGCAGAUAUCAGGAGGAACACCGAUGGCGAAGGCAGGUUACUGGGCAGUUACUGACGCUGAGGAGCGAAAGCAUGGGUAGCGAACAGGAUUAGAUACCCUAGUAGUC
rnacentral:rRNA from 1 species